UACGUAGGGUGCGAGCGUUGUCCGGAAUUAUUGGGCGUAAAGAGCUUGUAGGCGGUUUGUCGCGUCUGCCGUGAAAAUCCGGGGCUCAACCCCGGACUUGCGGUGGGUACGGGCAGACUAGAGUGUGGUAGGGGAGACUGGAAUUCCUGGUGUAGCGGUGAAAUGCGUAGAUAUUGGGAAGAACACCUGAGGCGAAGGCGGGUUGCUGGGCUGAUACUGACGCUGAGGCGCGAAAGCCAGGGGAGCAAACGGG
rnacentral:rRNA from 1 species